AGCAUAUCAAUAAGCGGAGGAAAAGAAACCAACAGGGAUGGCCUUAGUAACGGCGAGUGAAGCGGCAACAGCUCAAAUUUGAAAUCUGGCUCUUUCAGGGCCCGAGUUGUAAUUUGGAGAGGAUGUUUCGGGCACGGUCCGGGCUUAAAUUUCUUGGAACAGAAUGUCACGGAGGGUGAGAAUCCCGUCUGGAGCUCGGACACGACCCAUGUGAAACUCCUUCGACGAGUCGAGUUGUUUGGGAAUGCAGCUCUAAAUGGGUGGUAAAUUUCAUCUAAAGCUAAAUAUUGGCCAGAGACCGAUAGCGCACAAGUAGAGUGAUCGAAAGAUGAAAAGCACUUUGAAAAGAGAGUUAAACAGUACGUGAAAUUGUUGAAAGGGAAGCGCUGGCAACCAGACUUGCGCGUCGGGGUUCCCCCUUGCUUCUGCCUGGGUUACUCCCCGGCGUUCAGGCCAACAUCGGUUUCGGGGGUCGGUUAAAGGCCCUGGGAAUGUACCUACCCUCCGGGGUAGACUUAUAGCCCAGGGUGUCAUGCGGCCUCCCGGGACCGAGGAACGCGCUUCGGCUCGGAUGUUGGCGUAAUGGUUGUCAGCGACCCGUCUUGAAACACGGACCAAGGAGUCUAACAUCUAUGCGAGUGUUAGGGUGUCAAACCCUUACGCGGAAUGAAAGUGAACGGAGGUAGGAAGCCUUACGGCUGCACUAUCGACCGAUCCUGAAGUUUACGGAUGGAUUUGAGUAAGAGCAUAGCUGUUGGGACCCGAAAGAUGGUGAACUAUGCCUGAAUAGGGUGAAGCCAGAGGAAACUCUGGUGGAGGCUCGCAGCGGUUCUGACGUGCAAAUCGAUCGUCAAAUUUGGGUAUAGGGGCGAAAGACUAAUCGAACCAUCUGGUAGCUGGUUCCUGCCGAAGU
rnacentral:rRNA from 1 species